UGAGUCGGCUGGGUGGUCGCGCCGCGCGGUAACGCGUGGUGAGGAAAGUCGGGGCUCCAGAGGGCAGGGUGCUCGCGAAACGUGAGUCGCGGUGACGUGCAGGACAGUGCCACAGAGAACAGACCGCCGAUGACUCAGGCAACUGAGAACAGGUAAGGGUGAAACGGUGCGGUAAGAGCGCACCAGCGCGCUAGGUGACUAGAGCGGCUUGGUAAACCCCACCCGGAGCAAGAUCAAACACGAGAGCGCGGCCCGCGAGCUUCGUCAGAAGCACUCUCGAGGUAGAUCGCAUAGAUGGAUGACCGCCCACCUCGCUUCGCGGCGAGGGGACAGAACCCCGCUUACAGGUCGACUCGCCAU
rnacentral:RNase_P_RNA from 1 species